GAUGAACGCUGGCGGUAUGCCUAACACAUGCAAGUCGUACGAGAGUUUUUAACUCUAGUGGCGGACGGGUGAGUAACACGUGAGAAUUUGCCUUUAGGAGGGGGACAACAAUUGGAAACGAAUGCUAAUACCCCAUAUGCUUUCGAGUGAAAUGGAUUUUAUCCGCCUAGAGAGAAGCUCGCGGCUGAUUAGCUUGUUGGUACGGUAAGAGCUUACCAAGGCGACGAUCAGUAUCUGGUUUGAGAGGACGAUCAGACACACUGGAACUGAGACACGGUCCAGACUCCUACGGGAGGCAGCAGUGGGGAAUUUUCCGCAAUGGGCGAAAGCCUGACGGAGCAAUACCGCGUGAGGGAAGAAUGCCUAUGGGUUGUAAACCUCUUUUUCAGGGAGGAAUAAAAUGACGUGUACCUGAAGAAUAAGCAUCGGCUAACUCCGUG
rnacentral:rRNA from 1 species